GGCGGUGUAGCUCAGCUGGUUAGAGCGCACGACUCAUAAUCGUGAGGUCGUGGGAUCGAGUCCCACCACCGCUACCG
rnacentral:tRNA from 1 species